GCCGACAGAGUUUGAUCCUGGCUCAGAACGAACGCUGGCGGCAGGCUUAACACAUGCAAGUCGAGCGCUCGCAGCAAUGCGGGAGCGGCAGACGGGUGAGUAACGCGUGGGAACAUACCCUCCGGUUCGGAAUAACGCAGGGAAACUUGUGCUAAUACCGGAUACGGUCGAGAGGCGAAAGAUUUAUCGCCGGAGGAUUGGCCCGCGUUCGAUUAGCUAGUUGGUGGGGUAAUGGCCCACCAAGGCGACGAUCGAUAGCUGGUCUGAGAGGAUGAUCAGCCACAUUGGGACUGAGACACGGCCCAAACUCCUACGGGAGGCAGCAGUGGGGAAUAUUGGACAAUGGGCGCAAGCCUGAUCCAGCCAUGCCGCGUGAGUGAUGACGGCCUUAGGGUUGUAAAGCUCUUUCGCUAGGGACGAUAAUGACGGUACCUAGACAAGAAGCCCCGGCUAACUUCGUGCCAGCAGCCGCGGUAAUAACCUAAAUAGCUA
rnacentral:rRNA from 1 species